rnacentral:lncRNA from 1 species
AAUUUCCUGAAGAUUUGUGCAUAAUGUACAGAUCAUAUGAAAAUUGUAAAUCAAUGCAUGCCCAGUUCAACAAACAAUUGUACAACUGGACAUGCUCAGUUCUGCAAAAUCAUGUGACAAAACAUACCUCCGUUUAGUCCAUACAAAAAUACAAGUAAGACUAUUAUUUUAGUAGCUCCGCCCCGUAUGUAAAUUAUAUAUUAUUGUUGGAAUAUUGUACUUGUAUGGAAAUAUAUCAGCUGGUCUAGAAGUUUAAUAAAAGUAUGAUUUUUACUAUUGAUCACUAUUGAUUAUUUAUGCACGCUACCAAGAGAAAACAGACAACAAAUGUGACGGCCGUAUUAAUUAUUACCCCGUGUAUUUACUAGUUUUAUGAGAUAUUAGUAUUUAAUGG